rnacentral:rRNA from 1 species
UACGUAGGGUGCAAGCGUUGUCCGGAAUUAUUGGGCGUAAAGAGCUCGUAGGCGGCUUGUCGCGUCGGCUGUGAAAACCUGGGGCUCAACCCCGGGCCUGCAGCCGAUACGGGCAAGCUAGAAUUCGGUAGGGGAGACUGGAAUUCCUGGUGUAGCGGUGAAAUGCGCAGAUAUCAGGAGGAACACCGGUGGCGAAGGCGGGUCUCUGGGCCGAUAUUGACGCUGAAGAGCGAAAGCGUGGGGAGCAAACAGG